AGGGCGCACGGCGGAUGCCUUGGCACAGGAAGUCGACGAAGGACGCGGCAAGCUGCGAUAAGCCCCGGGGAGUGGCAAACACACCUUGAUCCGGGGAUCUCCGAAUGGGGGAACCCAGCAGGGGUCAUGCCCUGCUACCCACGCCUGAAUCAAAUAGGGCGCAGGGAGGCAACCGGGGGAACUGAAACAUCUAAGUACCCCGAGGAAGAGAAAUCAACCGAGAUUGCGCGAGUAGCGGCGAGCGAAAGCGCACCAGCCCAAACCCGGGCGCGUGUAAGCGGCAGGCGUUGCCGCCCGGGGGUUGCGGGACUCGCGUCCAGGUGCUGCCCACCUGGGAGCGGUUACAAAUCCACAUGGUAGCGGAACGGCAUGGAAGGGCCGGCCGCAGCGGGUGAGAGCCCCGUACGCGAAACCAUGCGGACCGCUGACGAGUAUCCCGAGUAGGGCCGGGCACGUGAAACCCGGUCCGAAGCCGGGGGGACCACCCUCCAAGGCUGAACACUCUCCUGUGACCGAUAGCGAACCAGUACCGUGAGGGAAAGGUGAAAAGCACCCCGAGAGGGGAGUGAAACAGUACCUGAAACCGUGCGCCCACAAGCAGUCGGAGCAACCUUGCGUUGUGACGGCGUGCCUUUUGUAGAAUGAGCCAGCGAGUUGCGGUGUGCGGCGAGGUUAAGUUUGGAAACGAGCCGCAGCGAAAGCGAGCCUUUAAGAUGGCGAGUGAGUCGCACGCUGCAGACGCGAAGCCGGGUGAGCUAUCCUGGGGCAGGCUGAAGCGGGGGUAAGACCCCGUGGAGGGCCGAACCCACUUCGGUUGAAAACGGAGGGGAUGACCCCAGGAUAGGGGUGAAAGGCCAAUCAAACCCGGAGAUAUCUCGUUCUCCCCGAAAUAGCUUUAGGGCUAGCCUCGGCCGUUAACCCGCGGUGGUAGAGCCACCGGAUCGACGAGGGGGCUUCACCGCCUACCGACUCGAACCGAACUCCGAAUGCCGCGGGUCGAGAGGCCGGGAGUCAGAGGGCGUGGGCUAAGCUGCGCGCUCGAGAGGGAAACAGCCCAGACCGCCCGCUAAGGUCCCCAAGUCAUCGCUGAGUGGCAAAGGAUGUGCGUCUGCCCAGACAACCAGGAUGUUGGCUUAGAAGCAGCCAUGCAUUUAAAGAGUGCGUAACAGCUCACUGGUCGAGUGGACAUGCGCCGACAAUUCACGGGGCUAAGCGAUGCACCGAAGCGGCGGACUGAGAAUUCAGUGGUAGGGGAGCUCUCCGCGGGGGGCGAAGCAGCAGGGCGACCUGCUGUGGACCGCGCGGAGGUGAGAAUGCUGGCAUGAGUAACGAGACCAGGGCGAGAAACCCUGGCGCCGUGAGCCUAAGGGUUCCUGGGCGAGGCUAAUCCCCCCAGGGUCAGUCGGGAGCUAAGGCGAGGCCGAGAGGCGUAGCCGAUGCGCAGCGGGCAGACAUUCCCGCACCGCCGACGGCGCGGCAUUACCGAUGGGGCGACGGAGAAGGGUAGCCGGGCGGGGUUCUGGACGUCCCCGUGAAAGCGCGUAGGGCGCGCAGCGUGGAAAUCAGCUGCGCACGGGGCCUGAGACGCGAGACGAAGCGAGCGAGCGAAGCCGGUGAGCCCAUGCUUCCGAGAAAAACCUCUAGGGAGUGCCGUCGGCGCCCGUACCAAAACCGACACAGGUGGGCGGGUAGAACAUACCGAGGCGAUCGGGAGAACCACGGUUAAGGAACUCGGCAUACUGGCCCCGUAACUUCGGGAGAAGGGGCGCCCCCGCCGGUGAAGGCACUUGCUGCCGGAGCUAGUGGGGGCCGCAGCGAAACGGCCCAAGCGACUGUUUAUCAAAAACACAGGACUCUGCAAAGCCGCAAGGCGACGUAUAGGGUCUGACGCCUGCCCGGUGCCGGAAGGUUACGCGGAUGCGUCAGCCGAAAGGCGAAGCGCUGAAGCCAAGCCCCGGUAAACGGCGGCCGUAACUAUAACGGUCCUAAGGUAGCGAAAUUCCUUGUCGGGUAAGUUCCGACCUGCACGAAUGGUGUAAUGAUCUGGACGCUGUCUCAACCGUGAGCUCAGUGAAAUUGUAGUAUCGGUGAAGAUGCCGAUUACCCGCGAUGGGACGAAAAGACCCCGUGAACCUUUACUAUAGCUUAGCAUUGAAUUUGGGCACGCGAUGUGUAGGAUAGGUCGGAGGCUUUGAAGCAGGCACGCCAGUGUUUGUGGAGCCGCUGUUGAAAUACGACCCUUUGUUUGUUUGAAUUCUAACUCUUGGUAAGAGGACAUUGCUUGGUGGGUAGUUUGACUGGGGUGGUCGCCUCCAAAAGCGUAACGGAGGCUUCUAAAGGUGCCCUCAGGACGAUCGGUAACCGUCCGCAGAGUGUAAUGGCAUAAGGGCGCUUGACUGGGAGACAGACAAGUCGAGCAGGUAGGAAACUAGAGCAUAGUGAUCCGGUGUUUCCGUAUGGAAGGGACAUCGCUCAAAGGAUAAAAGGUACUCCGGGGAUAACAGGCUGAUCCCUCCCAAGAGCUCAUAUCGACGGAGUGGUUUGGCACCUCGAUGUCGGCUCGUCACAUCCUGGGGCUGGAGAAGGUCCCAAGGGUUGGGCUGUUCGCCCAUUAAAGUGGCACGCGAGCUGGGUUCAGAACGUCGUGAGACAGUUCGGUCUCUAUCUAUCGUGGGCGUAUGAAAUUUGCGUGGCUCUGACACUAGUACGAGAGGACCGUGUUGGACCGACCUCUGGUUUACCGGUUGUGCCGCCAGGUGCAUCGCCGGGUAUCUAAGUCGGGAUCGGAUAAGUGCUGAAAGCAUCUAAGUACGAAGCCGGCCACAAGAUUAGAUUUCU
rnacentral:rRNA from 1 species